rnacentral:lncRNA from 1 species
GUUUGCUUCCCGUUCCACCAUAAUUGUAAGUUUCCUUAGGCCUCCACAUCCAGGCUGAACUGUGAGUUAAUAAAACUUCUUUCCUUUGCCCAGUGUCAGGUUCUGUGCUCUGUCUUUCCUCUAGCCCUCAGCUUAAUAGGUUGUGACCAAGGCAAUUCAAGGAAUUGUCCCAGGGGAGGGGAACUGGUGGAAUGAGUACCUGGCAAAAGGAAAGCAGUUGUCAUGACUGGCCAAGACUAAAGGCAACAGAGGAAACUUGAAAUCUGUAAGUGUCAUAAAAAUUGCAAGUACUGUUGACUCAGAUGUACUGAGAGGUUCACAUUAUCACUGCCAACUCUGCUACGUUGCCUACAAAGGAAUCCACACACCAACACUGGUGAAGAUGCAAUGAGAAAGCACAGUCUUUGAAGCAAGAGAGAGCCCUUACGAGAUGCUGAAUCCGCUAGUGCCUUGACAUGGGACUUUCCAACCUUCAAAACUAAAAACUGUCAAGACCAGUGAACACCUAGUGUUACUUGCACCAAGAAUAGUAACCACGGCUCUUGCAGAACUUGAAGGUAUAUUAUUAAAAGCGAUGAUUGUGGAAAUUUCUGUCUUAUUACUGAACACAGAGGAAAACAGAAUUCACCAGUUAAAGCUCCUGGGCCUAGACUAUGUGUCUGUGUGUGUGUGUGUGUGUGUGUGUGUGUGUGUGUGUGUGCGCGCGCGGUAUAUGUAAGUUCUUUAAUUAUAAUUAUCUUUUAUUUCUUAUGUUAUUUCUGUGUUUUCAAAUGUUUUUCUCAUUUUGUUAAAUUUUUAAAUAUAUUGAUACAAAAUUGUUAAUGAGAUACUCAUGCAAUGUUUUGUAUGUCUGUGUGGUUUGUAGUGAUAUCCCUUCUUUUCAUUCCUGAUGCUUAAAAAUUUUGGUUUAUUUAUUUCCUUCUUGAUUUAUCUUGCUAAUCGUUUAUCAGUUUUAUUUCUAUUCUUAAAAUGCCAUUUAUUUUUCUUUCUAAAUUUUUUCAGUUGUGUCUGCCUUCUCUCUCAUUUGUUUCUUUGUUUCUUACAUUUUCCUUUAUUUCUUCCAUUGUGGGGCUUAUUAUUUUCUUUACGUGACUUCCUAUAAAUAAGUUCUUAUGUCAUUGACUUUUUAUUGUUUUAUAUGUUCCAACGUACAUACGUAUGAUUAUAAGUCUGGCUUUCAGCAGUGCCAUAACUGAAAUCUACAAGUUAUGAUAUACUUUUUAUUUUCAUUCCAUUUAAAAUAUAUUCUCACAUUUACUGUAAGUUCUUAUUUGAUUUAUGUGUUAUUAAAGACAUAUUUGUUGCUUUUUAUACAAACAUUUGAGAUUUCCAGAUUAGUUAUUAAUUUCCACUAUAAUUUUAUUGUGGUCAUAGAAUAUACUUUGUAUGUCCUUUGAAAUUUAUUAAAAUCUGUUUCCAGAGAAAAAUGUCUAUCCACAUGCAAAAGAAUAAAAUUGCAUCUUUAUCUAGCACCCUAAACAAAAAUCAACUCACGCUGCAUUAAACACUUAAACAGAAGACCCAAAAUCAUGAAACUCCUGAGAAAAAACUUAGGAGAAAAGCUCUUGAUGUGAACUUUGAGAGCAAAGGAUGAUAAAGUUUUAGGCCUCUGUAACUGAAGGGUUAGUAUUGGCAUUAUAGGACACGGGGAAACAAUUGGUAGAGCACAACUGGAAGAGAACGUUAGAAUUUUAGUUUUAGACAUGUUAAGUUAAGUAACCUGACUAGACCUAAGAACCAGCACCCCAAUGCCUAUCAUGCUUGUCAUUCUCUUCCUUUUUCUUCACAUUUUUUAAGGAAUCUUCUGCUGAGAUGAACUUUUAAAUACUUACAAUCAAAUUAUACAUAGAGCUUCACUGGGAAAAGCUAAAAUUGGAUAUAAUAUACCAAUGAAAGGCACAGCUGAUAUGAUUUUCUUAACCAUGCAGUUACAGCAUGCUAUGUAAUAACUGAGACCAAUGGAAUACAUUUUUCUUCCUUAAAAUUCUUGCUGAUAUGCUCUUCAUGUAAGAAAUAGUUUAGCUAACAUAACAUUUAAGGGUGAACACAAGUAACUAAUAAUUCUUUUUAGUUGUAAUAGAUGGUUUAAAGUAAUCAACAGAUGUUUUAUCUCAAUGAUGAUUUGCCAGGUGUAAUUUUCUUUAUUUAAAUACAUUCAGCAAAACAAAGGAGAAAUCAUGAUAGUCAUCUAAUUUUUAUUUUUGACUAUUCUUCAACUUUGAAAUAUUUGCCUAGAACGCAUUGUAUUUCUCAAGAGCAAUAUAAAUAUCAUAAGUACCAUCACUUAGUGCUACAUAAAUUGAGCAAAUUAUUUAGCAAUCCUGAAGUUCUAUAUCUCUCUUUCUCUAUUGCAUAUGUCAGUGAUCCUGUAGCCCUGGUUUCAAACUGCCGAUUCACAGACCAAAUGUCUCUCUGAGGACACUGUCAUCUGUCUCACUGGUAGAGUGAGAAAAAAUGUGAAAAUAUCAUGACUUUUCUACAUAAGUUAAAUGCAUCCAUUAUUUUGUAAUAACAUUUCUACUUUUUGGAAGUCAAUCUGUUGAUAGUAGAUGAUAAAUGAUAGCUAUUGCUUCUGUUUGUUUUCCAAGUAUAUAUUUGUCAAAAUAAAACUCAUAUAUUGGUUCCUAUUUUAAGUAUUUUUGUCUUCUUGUUUAAAUGUUACUACUUGUGAAAUACAAAAAUUCUAGAGGCAAUAAUCUACCUAAUAAUGUCCAAACAUUAUAAUUGUUUUAAAAGACCCUUCAUUUUGUCCUAUUCCUAUAUCUCCCCACUUAAUUUCCA